GAUGAACGCUAGCUACAGGCUUAACACAUGCAAGUCGAGGGGCAGCAUGACCUAGCAAUAGGUUGAUGGCGACCGGCGCACGGGUGAGUAACACGUAUCCAACCUGCCGAUUAUUCCGGGAUAGCCUUUCGAAAGAAAGAUUAAUACUGGAUAGCAUAACGAGAAGGCAUCUUCUUGUUAUUAAAGAAUUUCGAUAAUCGAUGGGGAUGCGUUCCAUUAGUUUGUUGGCGGGGUAACGGCCCACCAAGACAUCGAUGGAUAGGGGUUCUGAGAGGAAGGUCCCCCACAUUGGAACUGAGACACGGUCCAAACUCCUACGGGAGGCAGCAGUGAGGAAUAUUGGUCAAGGGACGAGAGUCUGAACCAGCCAAGUAGCGUGAAGGAUGACUGCCCUAUGGGUUGUAAACUUCUUUUAUAUGGGAAUAAAGUGGGCCACGUGUGGCUUUUUGUAUGUACCAUACGAAUAAGGAUCGGCUAACUCCGUG
rnacentral:rRNA from 1 species